CCCUGGACCCAGGGACUGGUGCAGAAAGUCAGGUCUCACCAAUCGGAGCGAGGCAUUCCCUAGGUCAAAGCCAUGGGCCAAUCUUGGGCUCAUGACCUCAUUUAGACCCGCAGGUCCUGGGGGAGGGCUUUGGGGGAGGUUCUUUCCUCUUAAGAAAGGCCUGUGGGAGCUGAUGCUAUGGCACUGGGGUGCCGGCCAGGAGCUGCAGAGCUACGCAUGAAUAAAAAGAGGCUGUGCUCAGGCGGCGGCGUGGCUGUGAACUGGCCAUGGAGGAGGGGAGGAGCACUAUCAGGGCAAGAUCCCCAAGGCCUGGUGGUCUCCAUGGGCCCCAUUAAACACCUGAGGAUUAAAGAUUCCAAGAAGCCUGGAUCCUCCCCACUCCAUAUUGCUGCCUGACAGGGGUUGAGGUGACGAGGGGAGCAUUGGUUUCCCUGGGGGAAUAAUUAAAGCUCUUUGGUGCUGAGCCAGAUCUGACAAGACUAAUGGUCCGUGUGAGCCAAGGCUCCAUGAGUUGUAUUAGCCAGAGAGUGGAGGAAGCCACAGCCGCUGCCACAGCCAGCCGCCACAGCCAGCCACCAUCAGGGCACCGAGGAUGUGCGCGCCCUGGAGGACUUCAGGCUCAGAGCCAUUCAGGGCCGGUGAGAAAGCUGAGGAUGGCAGGUACCUUCUCUCUAUGAGUCAUUGGUUGCCUCUGCCAACCAGAGACAAUGAUGGACAUUUACAUACUUCCAACGUCAGCAUGAAGGGUGAGUGUGGAACGCCACCUCUCUGCUGACCCAUCUGCAGGGCAGUGAGAUGGGCAGAGGCUGCCACUGGUCACUCACAAGUUCAUUCAAGAAUUAGCAGCUGAGGGCCAGACCCAUGCCAGAGCCAGCGCAAUAGAGAACCCCUGGCUCUCACUGUGGCAGCCCUCCAAGGUGCCCUCUCCUCCACCCGUCCGCCUGCCUGGGAGAUGCUGAGAGUGAGUGAACCUGCCCCUGGGAAAGAGCCAGGACUCCUAUGGGGGCUGCACGUGGGUGCCCCGCCUUGGCCACUGCUCCUGGCCACUUGAACUCUCUGGUAAGUGAAACGACACUUACACACUCUUGGAAUGACGCCCCCUGAGAGAUGCUGCUGAUUCAAGGGUAGCUCAGAAAACUGGUCAUCCAGACCUGAAGUUGGUCUCCUAAUUUGACAUAAUGGAAUAGAAUAGAAAGAAGCCACACACGUGGUCCCGCAACAUCUUAGUCCCUGAGAACCGCAGCGUUCCUCUCAGGGGCCAUUUGUGCUCACCCCUAGUGCCGUGCGGGACACAACUGAAUCAUGUCUGAAUAUCGUUGCAGGGAAUUUUUUCUGCUUAUAUCAACAUACGGACCUCAGACUCAGGACUUGUCCUAAAUUCUACCUUCUACGAAACCUGGUUUUUCAGCCUCAGCACCACUGACAUUUGGGACGGAUCAUUCUCCCUGCUGUGGCCACCCCAUGCACUGCAGGCAGCUGAGCAGCAUCCUCGGCCUCCACCCGUGAGAGACCUGCACCACCCACCUCCGACGCCACCACCCAAAGCCUCUGCAGACACUUCCCGGUGUCCCCGGAUGGCAAAACUGGCCUGUGGAGGACCAGCGACCUGCCCCAGUGUUUACUGUGUGUGCAAAUACUCUCUGAGCCCCUGUAUGUGCCCGAGCUUGCCUGAGGUCUAGUGUGGCUGUGGCCAGUGGUGACACUAGAAAAAAACAGCAAACACGGGGCCUCGGCAUGCACCAAACUGGGCCAGAACCCACCGCAGCCAUGAGCUCUGGAACCCGCACUGCAAACAUGAGACCUCACCGUGCACCAACCUGGGCUGGAACCCACUGCAGCCGUGAACUCUGGAACCCACACAGCAAACAUGAGGCCUCACCAUGCACCAACCUGGGCUGGAACCCACUGCAGACGUGAACUCUGGAACCCACACAGCAAACAUUGGAGGGAAACACUGUCACUUCUACUUUACAGGCAUAAACACUGAAGUGCAGAGCAUUUGGGUGCAUCAGAAUUUUAACUCUUCAGCCCUGCAGGCCUCGCUUUCAGACAUUCUGCUUCAGUAGGGCUGGAAGGGGUCCUGGGGAGCCCCACUGCAGGGAACCAGAAACCAACUGGAAGAGCCGGUGUCCAGCAGGCCCCAGAGCUCCUCAGAGCCUCAGAUGGGGUUGGAGGGCCUUCCCCUGCUCCAUCCUUCCCCCAAAUACUGGUUGUUCCUUUCAUUCAAUAGAUGCUCAAAUCUUACACAAUUUAAACAGACAUUCCUAAGAGCACUGUAUUUGCAUGUAAUUUGACUGUUUUCUUGUAGUAGUUGUAAAAGGGGAAGGAAAAUCUAUUCCAGUUAAUUGUAGGUUCUGUGGAACUGGAGUUAGAUCACAUCACUAUUGAAACCAGCUUAUUAUUGAUCGGAAAUGUGACAGGCCUGGGUCCACGGGCACACGUGUUGCCAGAAGCCUUUGUCACUCCAUGGCUGACAUCUCUGCAUUGUUUUUCAGCUGGUAAUUCCUUAAAAGACUGAGACAAUAGUCAUUUAAUAUCGUUUGCUCAAAUGAACAGUUCCCCGAGCAAAUAACAAUAAUAAAAAAAAGUCCCUGAGAAGCCAAUUAGACUCUGCAGCUUGUACCAAGCAAUGGCCUUUCUAAUAGACGCCCUUUUUACAAGUGCAG
rnacentral:lncRNA from 1 species